rnacentral:rRNA from 1 species
GGGUGAGUAACACGUGGAUAACCUACCUAUAAGACUGGGAUAACUUCGGGAAACCGGAGCUAAUACCGGAUAAUAUUUUGAACCGCAUGGUUCAAAAGUGAAAGACGGUCUUGCUGUCACUUAUAGAUGGAUCCGCGCUGCAUUAGCUAGUUGGUAAGGUAACGGCUUACCAAGGCAACGAUGCAUAGCUGACCUGAGAGGGUGAUCGGCCACACUGGAACUGAGACACGGUCCAG